rnacentral:rRNA from 1 species
CUGUACAGUUCAGAGUUUGAUCCUGGCUCAGGACGAACGCUGGCGGCGUGCCUAACACGUGCAAGUCGAACGGGACUUAAUGGAAAGCGGCUUCGGCCAAUGGAAGUUAAGUUUAGUGGCGAACGGGUGAGUAACGCGUGAGGAACCUGCCUUCCAGUGGGGGACAACAGUUGGAAACGACUGCUAAUACCGCAUAAUGUAAUCGGACCGCAUGAUCUGGUUACCAAAGCUUUAUGUGCUGGAAGAUGGCCUCGCGUCUGAUUAGCUAGUUGGUGGGGUAACGGCCCACCAAGGCGACGAUCAGUAGCCGGUCUGAGAGGAUGAACGGCCACAUUGGGACUGAGAUACGGCCCAG